CUGUAGCCCACAAGGCUCCUCUGUCCGUGGGAUUAUCCCAGCAAGAAUACUGGAGUGGGUUGCCAUUUCCUACUCCAGGAGACCUUCUCGACUCAGGGAUCAAACCCACGGCUCCGGCAUUGGCACUGGGCCAGCCCCAACCUGUGACAGGUAGGAUACGGGAAAUCAGUCUAGAAGCCAAGGUCAUGCUUGCUACAAGGACAGUCAGCUGAGCCUGGCAUGGAGGCCUCACCUGCCAAAGCAAAGGUUGCUCUGGACAACUGCCCAGCCAUGCUGUGUGGACUCACACCAUCCUGGUGGGGGUCCUUCUGUCUUUUCCUGGGAGAAAGUAGCAAGAAGUUUAACAAGGGUGUUUACUGACUUCUCACGUACCUGUGGGGCUAUGCUGGACCUGGGACCCUUCAGGAGAGAAGCUCUGGGGCAGAGACCAUUGCUGGAGCCAGAAUCACUAGGGUCUGUAUAUAAUUCAGUGUGCUCAGAUGCUGUCUUGUCUACGUCUGUUUUUAAAGAGGUUCUUCUGUGAGACACAAUCCGCCGGUCUCAGGUCAGGAGAAGACAUGGGUGUCCUUCACCAAGCUGUCCUUCACCAGCUGCCCACGCCCACGUCAUCAUUGUUCAUGGUCAAGGACCAAAUUCCUACCAAGUGUCUGGUAAUCUCUCCAGAGAGACCCCAGGAAGCCGCUGAUGAAGAGAUGCUCUGAGAGUCUGAAUCUGUCACUGCGUCCAGGCAACACACAUAAAUGGACAAGUCCUGAGGCUCUUCCAGGAAGAGCCUCCUCAGUCAGCCCUUCGUCCCUUCCUCCCUUUCCUUCCUGCCCCCCACCCUGACCUCUUCUUUAUCUCCUUCUCUCAUCUUUCCGUUCUACCAGAAGGAAGACUGGUCAAAGACUGGUUCAUUUGUUUACGCACAGUCUUGUUCUAGAAAGGCUCCUUGAAAGAGUGCAGAAAACACAGCUAGGUGGUAUCUGUGUCACGUAGGACAGCGAGAGAAGGAAUAGCAGUGGUGGUCAAAACCUGAGGCCCGGAAAUGAGACAGACUCAUUCAAGCCCAGCGGAGCUGUGUGGCCCUUGGUUCUGCAUCCCAGGCGUCGGUGCUCUCUCCGGAGAUCUGGCCUUGCCCUCCCUGACUGUGUCAUCUUCCAGUGUACAACUGUCAAUCCCAUUCAUGAACAGAUGAGUCUUUUUACAGCAGAGGCUCUUCCCGUUAUCUGGAAGCCCAGUGAGGAAAGUUAUUAAGGGCAGCGAUGCACCCGUGAAAAGGUUACUCUUCUCGCAUCCCCCUGCGGCCAUGGUAUUAAGCUCUGGACAAUGAGAUGGAAAGAAGACCAUGUAGCCUCACCUUCCCCGACUCUUCCUGUUCCCAGACUGUGGAAUUCAUGAGGAGAGCACCCUGGUUCAUGCUGGACCAUGACGUGGCCUUGGGGACAGCAGCCACAUGCUGGGGACGAUAAAGAAAAGACAGAGAGACAGGUGUCGGGUCCUUGAUGAGGAGUGCAUUCCCUGUAUCAGCCCUAAGGGGCCUACCUCCAGAUUACCACCAGCUGGGUAAGGAAUAUGCCUUUUUGUUGAAGCUACUGAUAUUCAGGAUUUCUGUUAUGUGUACAUGUGCGCUCAGAUGUAUCUCAUUCUUUGCAACCCCAUGGACAAUAGCCCACCAGACUCCUGUGUCCAUGGGAUUUCCCAGGCAAGAAUACUGAAGUGAGUUGCCAUUUCCUCUUCCGGGGAAUCUUCCCAACCAAGGGAUCGAACUCACAUCUCUUGCAUCUCCUGCAUUGGCAGGUAGAUUCUUUACCACUUAGCUACCUGGGAAGCAUUCUGUUGUAGGAAGCCAUGCCAAAUUCUUUUUUUUUUUUUUGGCCAUGCUACAUGGCUUGUGGGAUCUUAGUUCCUGACCAGGGAUUGAACCCAGGCCAUAGCAGUGAAAGCACAGAGUGCUAACCACUGGACCACCAGGGCAGUCCUGCCAUACCUAAUUCUAAGUCUCUCUUUCAAAUCUUUGUGUCUAGCUAUGCUCAUUUCACCUGCAUAUCUGACAUUUCUUCUUGAAUGGUAACUAAGCAUCUCAAACUGAAAAAGACCCAAACAGAACUCUUGACAUUUUUCUCAUCUUUUUUUCAUGCUCACUGACUUAGGAUGGAAACCAGGGAGUCAUCCUCAAUUCCUGUUUACUUCCCUCUCCCACAUCAGCAAAAUUUACGGGCUCUACCUCCAAAGUAGACCCCAGGUCGCUCCACUCACCACCUGCCCAGCUCUCACCAUCGUAGCCACUGACCUCUUUUAUGUGGAAUCUCAUAAAAGUAUCUCACCCACUCUGAUUCCACUCCUCCUCCAAUAAUGCUUCCUCCAGAGCAGCCGGAAAACAUACAUCAGAUCACAUCACUCAUCUGCUCAAAGCUUCUUGUUCCCACUGCAGUCACCCCACUCGUCAUGAGCUGGACUUCUUGACCUCCUGCCUUUUCUAUCCUAACAUCCUCAACCCACCAAUAAAUAGUCUGGGAACACUCCUCAGUAAUCUUCCCAGGCUACCCCUACCUGAACUUAUCCUCUCAAAAGCUUGCAGGGCAGGAUGGUGGUGCUGGGGGUGGGGAGAUGCAUAUACAGAAGUCAUAGUACACACGUAAGGUUUCUUGUAUUUUAUUGUAAAAUUUCAAGGAGAUUUUGCAGUCAAUGCUAUAAUACAUUGAACCAUUGGGCAAAUGGGUGGCCAGCAAGAAGCUACGCUUUGACCCGGUGAAGCUGGAGCCUGGCCACCUGUGAGGUCACAUCGCACAUCACCUGGGGACCCUCUCCUGCUUUUGUUCUGACUUUGGGCUAGUUUAUCAAAGUUCACUGCUCUCCCUGAACCUGAAGUGUGCAGGGAUCGCUUUGGGGGUCAACCCCCUCAGAAUUGUUGCUUGGCGUGGGAAGGUCAGAUGCUCCCACAGAUCGGCAGGAAAAUACAGAUUGUUUAUGAAUGUUAAAAACAUGAGUGGUCAAAAGUCAAUGAAAUUAGCUAAGUACGGCCAAGUUUUGCAAGCUCUGCAGCAGGAUGAAACAGCAAAUCUUUCACUGAUAGAGGGUUGUGAUUAAAGCAAGGAACUGCAGCCCACGGAGAAGUGAUCUGCUUGCCACCACCCCUGCUCCACGAACAUGUCCUCCACGCCGCCCCCGGCAGACACCUCAGUCCCCCCAGCUCCUCCUGAAGCUGGUCCCACUCCUAGCACUGUGUCCUCCCUCUUACAGGUCUUCUACCCAAACGCCGGUCCAGGGCUGUAAUGAGAAGGGAAGGGACCAACCAGUCUCUUUUUU